GGGCGUAUAGCUCAGUUGGUUAGAGCGUCACGUUGACAUCGUGAAGGUCACAGAUUCGAGUUCUGUUACGCCCACCA
rnacentral:tRNA from 3 species